rnacentral:lncRNA from 1 species
AGAUACUCAUGAAGAGGAGGCGCAGCAACCGUCUACAAGAGCAAAAUCCAGUGAAAGAAUUCGCAGAAAAAGUCACAGAACCCCUAACAAGUGAUCCACUCGAUCGUAUAUCAUAUGCUCCCGAUAUUUAUAAUCCCGGAACUUCAAAAAGAGCAAAUAAGAAUAUACUAUUGGUUACCUCAGGAGUCGAAACUUCUGACACUAAUGAAGAAGCGAUAUCCUCUUGCCCUCCGAACAAACCUAAAGAAUCUAAAUCAAAAUCAAAACUAGAAUACACAGGAGAGGCCACAGAACCCCCAGCUACUGAUUCACUUCCUCUUACAUCAUAUGCUCCUGAUAUCGCUAAUCCCGGAACUACAAAAAUAGCAAAUAAGAAGGUAUUACUGGAUGACUCAAAAGUAAAAACUUCAGACACGGAUGAAAAGUUGAUAUCCUCUUGCUCUCCGAAAAAACCGAAAAAAUCUAAAUCUAAAAGAAACCUAGAAUGCACAGGAGAAGUCGCAGAACCCUCAAUUACUGAUCUACUUUCCCUUACAUCAAAUUCUUCCGAAAUCUAUAAUCCUGGAACUUCAAAAAGAGCAAACAAGAAUUUACUAAUGGUGGACUCAAAAAGCGAAACUUUUGAUGCUAAUGAAGAAUCGAAACCUUCUUGCCCUCGAAAAAAACCGAAAAAAUCUAAAUCAAAACGAGAAUAUACAGGAGAAGCCACAGAAUCCCCAACAAUUGAUCCAAUCCAUUGUACAUCAAAGGCUCCCGAUAUCUAUAUUUCCGGAAUUACAAAAAGAGCAAAUAAGAAGAUACUACAGGAUGAUUCAGAUGUAAAAACUUCAGACACGUAUGAAAAAUUGACAAAAAGAGCAAAUAAGAAGAUACUACUGGAUGACUCAGAAGUAAAAACUUCAGACACGUAUGAAAGAUUGAUAUCUUCUUGCUCCCUGAAAAAACCGAAAAAAUCUAAAUCAAAAAGAUACCGGUAA